UUUCUUUGCUUUGAUCUUUCUUCUCUUCCUUUCUGUAUAUAUUCCAUAAAAAAAAAAAAAAGAGGGAAUAUUAUUCAUUCCCACUUCCUCCUUCCCAUUCAUUAAUUACGUUGUAGACUAAAGAAAAGCUCUUCAAUUUUGAUUUUUUUUGGAUUUUAACACCAGCAAGAGAAACGAAUUCAAUUCCUACCCUCCCUCCCUCCCUCCUCAUCAAAGGCAAGGAGAUGAAAUCAUUUAGGAAAUUGAGAGGAUUUGCUUCACUUCACAAACAAGUAGUACAUAAAAACCCAAGGGAUCUUCCCUCCUUCUCUCAAUCACAUGAGCUUGCUAAAGCCUCUCAGGACAUGAAAGAUAUGAAAGAUUGCUAUGAUAGCUUACUUUCUGCUGCCGCUGGAACCGCCAAUUGUGCCUUUGAAUUCUCAGAAUCACUGCGUGAAAUGGGUGCUUGCCUUCUUGCGAAAACUGCAUUGAAUGAUGAUGAAGAAAGUGGCAGGGUCUUGCUGAUGCUGGGAAAAGUGCAAUUUGAACUCCAGAAACUUGUUGACUGCUAUCGUUCUCACAUAAAUCAGACAAUCAUAAGCCCGUCAGAGUCUCUUCUGAAUGAACUUCAAAUAGUUGAGGAGAUGAAGCAGCAGUGUGAUGAGAAAAGAGAUGUAUAUGCUCACAUGGCGAGACAGAGAGAAAGAGUGAGUGGAAGAAAUGGAAAGGGAGAGUGUUUUUCUAUGCAGCAAAUACAAGCAGCUCAUGAUGAAUAUGAUGAGGAGGCCACUUUGUUUGUUUUUCGUCUUAAAUCCCUGAAGGAAGGACAAUCUCGCAGUCUUCUUACACAGGCGGCUCGGCACCAUGCUGCUCAGCUCUGCUUCUUUAAGAAGGCUCUUCAAUCUCUUGAAGCUGUUGAGCCGCAUGUCAAAUUGGUCUCAGAACAGCAGCAUAUAGAUUACCACUUUAGUGGCCUUGAUGAUGAUGGGAGGGAUUAUGAUGAUGAUGAAGAUUAUGAUGAUGCCAUUGAUGAUGGAGAAUUGAGCUUUGACUAUGGACAAAAUGACCAGGAGCAAGAAGUUUCCAAAUCAAUAAAGUCAAUGGAGUUGGAUUUAGAGGACAUUACAUUUCCCCAAGUUGUGACAUUGGAAAUGGCAAAGGAAAAUCCAGAUACAAGUUACAGGACAUCGUUUCCUAUUAAGGGAGAACUUAGUGCAGGCACCCAAUCAGCUCCACUUUUUGCUCAAGUGAAAUCUAAUCCAGCUGGAAAAACAAAACAACUGAUGCCAUCAUCCACCCGAAAGUUCAACACUUAUGUGUUGCCUACUCCAGCAGACCCAAAGAGUUCAAAUUCUACAGGACCUGGUAGCCCGGUUUCUCAAACAUUAAAGACAAGUUUGAGUGGACGUCCUCUGAAUUUGUGGCACUCAUCCCCUAUUGGCCAUAAAAAAAAUGAUAAGUUACUAGGAGUUGAAAUGUCUAGCAAGCCCCCUGCUAUAAAUUCGCAGUCAGUACUCAAGGAGAGCAACAACAACACGGCAUCCACCCGAUUACCUCCUCCUCUAGCUGAUGGACUCUUUUUUUCAAGGCUUGAGCCACCAGCUGGCGCUGAAUCUAAGAAAAUCAAAAGAUAUGCCUUUUCUGGUCCUAUUUCAUCCCAGCCAUGGUCUACCAAGGCAGUCUCCGCAGAACAUCCACAAUUGUUCUCUGGACCCCUUUUGCGAAAUCCAACGGCCCAAUUAUUUUCAUCACCUCCGAAAGUGUCUCCAAGAAUUUCACCAAAAGUAUCUCCUAGUUCUUCCCCUCCAUUUGUGUCCUCACCCAAAAUCAGCGAGCUACAUGAGCUUCCCAGACCCCCAGUCAGUUCAACCUCCAAGUCUCCGGGGGCUGGAGGUUUGGUUGGUCAUUCAGCUCCACUGUUGCCCAAAGGCCACAUGCUUCCUGGUACAAGCAAAACGUCAGCAUCAAAUGUAGAAUCUCAACUGCCUACACCUUCUCAAGUUGUCCCUCGCAGUUUUUCAAUACCCUCUAGCAGACAUAGAGUAAUGGUCGCUCAGAAUUCAGGGAUUGUUGAGAAUGUUGCCUCACCUCCUCUAACCCCAAUAUCUUUAUCUAACACCCAGCCAUCAUCCACUGGUUCCCGGAUCGUCAAUCAGACAGUUCAAAUCAGAGGUGCAGUUUGAUUCUAUUCUUUUAUAGUGAUAGCUUUGCUUCAAGUUCAGCAACCAAAAUUUGAGCUCACACGAUUCUCGCAUCAUUUGGUACAGAGUUGAGUUGUCUAGUGGAGUGCUAACCGGAUAGAUUAUUCUCUACAUUUCCCGUGAUGUAUCAUGUUCACUCGAGUGAUUUCGCUGUCCCACAGGAAUCAUGUUCCAUGAUGUUCACCGACUUGCCAAAGAUAAAAAAAUAAUGACCUCCAUUUCUGACAGCAGAGGUUUAAAUUCUCUGGAUAGUUUGAAGUGCUUACAGAUACUGAAGACGGACGAGCUUCCCCAACUCAGGAACCAGACUGCCUGAAAGCUUUGCGUUUCCCAGGUCUCUGCAACAGCCAAUAUUUUAGUACUCACUAUUUAUUACUUCUAUAAUUUGUCGACUUCCUUGACAAUUUAACAGAUAAUUAUUUCUGUUGAGUUACUUCUUCCAUGACAGAAUUUAUGCUACUCUUAAAUUUACAUGUGCAUGAAUAUACAUAGCAACGACUUUCAUAUUUUUUUUCUCCCUAUCUUCUCCUUUAUUACUAGCACAUCAGAGUCACACAACCUGUUUCAAAGAUUGAGUUGUAAAAAAGAAACAAAAAUGAGUUAAGGAUAUAGUAGUACUAUGAUCUUCGAACAUCAUGUUUGAAAAAGUUGUCCACCCAGGAGAUCAUCAUGUACAAAUAGAUAUCACGCACGCAUGCAGAUUAGUAAAUUUGUUCAGAAAUGAGGGGCUUGUCUCUAGUGCCUAAUUAGAUGUCUUGGACUAUUUAAGGUCUAGAUAAUUGUUUUGAGAAGCAAAAAUAUAGUCAUAGUUUUCAAACCUUAACAACCAGACAACACACAAACUACAAAAACUAAAGCAAACAUGCACGAAGGCUCAAAUAAAAUGUGAAAAAAAAUAAAAAAUAGGGAUACUGGAAGAUUAGUAGUAAAUAUACGUAUGCUGCUUACAGUCGGGUAACCCGAUUAUCACCAUCGCAGGUAACGUGGAACCAAGUACAUGGAUCCACCAAGUUUGGGUCCCAGCUCUGGAGAACAUGCCCUGGAUCCUUCACUGCUCUCCUCAGAGCGUACAAAGCAUCCCCUAGUUCAUGGACCAAAAGGUUAAAAUCACAGUUCAAUUAUACUCACAGUUGGUGAAAAAUGAAAGAAAAACCUAUGUGUACCUUCUAAAUUUGCAUUUGUUAGUGCUAGAAUGAUUGAUGGAAGAACAAGAACGAGAAGAUGUAACACAGUACAGCUUGCCAUUUAGGGAACUUUAGGCCUGG